GGAGAGAUGGCUCAGUGGUUAAGAGCACUGACUGCUCUUCCAGAGGUCCCAGGUUCAAUUCCCAGCAACCACA
rnacentral:tRNA from 1 species